GGUGACUCAUUGACGUCAUCACACUCGGGUGCGCUCGGCAGGGCGCGUGUGCGCCGAAGCGAGGCGAUUCUGAGGCUUUAUAAACCCCGGGGCGCGCCGCGACCCAGCAAGCGAGGAUAGCGGCGUGUCUCUGUUGUGAGCGCCAGGGAGUCCUUGUUGAUCGGCGGUGCAAUCGUAUCGAGAUGGGGUUUUGGCUGCUUUUAGGAGUUGCCUGGCUGUGCGUGUUUUUGCCUGCUGGCGUGGUCGCUCAGGACGUGUCAGGAAACUUCGUGACGGAGUGUCGGGAUCGGUACUUCUGGAUGUCGACCAAUGGCAGGUUUGCCGGCGGCAGCUUCCGCUUCGACGUCAUUG